rnacentral:rRNA from 1 species
UCCGCGGCCACCGCCUACAAGGCUCAGUUUCUUGGACUGACACUUUCGCCCAUGGACUUUAUGAUCUGGAAGGCUUGGGCCCCUCCUAAGAUCAAGUUUUUUGCUUGGUUGGCUAUCCAAGACCGGAUUUGGACAGCCGACAGAUUGGAGCGGCGCGGUUGGCAAAACUGUGGUCUUUGCCCGCUUUGCAAUCGUGUUGGCGAGACGGGUGCACACCUCUUCUACAAAUGCCGCUACACCAUAAGGCUAUGGAACUCGGUCAUCCUUGAAUUUGGUCUAGCACACAUGGACACCUCCUCUUGGCAUUUGGAUGGAUCCGUUUUGGAAUGGUGGGAAAAGCGAACCUGCUUGCAAAACCCAAACCGACGAGCCCUGGCCUCACUUACAAUGCUAGUCUCUUGGACGAUCUGGAGCGAGCGUAAUGCUCGGGUCUUCCGACACAAGAGCGCACCGCCUCCG